GUGCUUGCUUCGGCAGCACAAAUACUAAAAUUGGAAUGGUACAGAAAAGAUUAGCAUGGCCCUUGUGCAAGGAUGACAUGCAAAUUUGUGAAGCAUUUUAAAAGAAA